rnacentral:rRNA from 1 species
UGCGUAGGUGGUAUAGCAAGUCAGAAGUGAAAACCCAGGGCUUAACUCUGGGACUGCUUUUGAAACUGUCAGACUGGAGUGCAGGAGAGGUAAGCGGAAUUCCUAGUGUAGCGGUGAAAUGCGUAGAUAUUAGGAGGAACAUCAGUGGCGAAGGCGGCUUACUGGACUGAAACUGACACUGAGGCACGAAAGCGUGGGAGGCAAACA